AUCGAACGCUGGCGGCAUGCUUAACACAUGCAAGUCGAACGGCAGCACGGGGCUAGCCCUGGUGGCGAGUGGCGAACGGGUGAGUAAUACAUCGGAACGUGCCCGGUUGCGGUGGAUUACGUCUCGAAAGCUACGCUAAUACCGCAUACGAUCUGAGGAUGAAAGCGGGUGACCUUCGGGCCUUGUGCGCUCGGGGCGGCCGACGGGAGAUUAGGUAGUUGGUGGGGUAAAGGCCUACCAAGCCGACGAUCUGUAGCUGGUCUGAGAGGACGAGCAGCCACACGAGGGGGGAGACACGGCCCAGACUCCUACGGGAGGCAGCAGUGGGGAAUGUUGGACAAUGGGCGCAAGCCUGAUCCAGCCAGCCCGCGUGCAGGACGAAGGCCUUCGGGUUGUAAACUGCUUUUGUGCGGAACAAAAAGGCUCUGGCUAAUACCUGGGGCGCGUGACGGUAACGGAAGAAUAAGCACCGGCUAACUACGUG
rnacentral:rRNA from 1 species